ACCUUACCUACUCUUGACAUCCAGAGAACUUAGCAGAGAUGCUUUGGUGCCUUCGGGAACUCUGAGACAGGUGCUGCAUGGCUGUCGUCAGCUCGUGUUGUGAAAUGUUGGGUUAAGUCCCGCAACGAGCGCAACCCUUAUCCUUUGUUGCCAGCGGUUCGGCCGGGAACUCAAAGGAGACUGCCAGUGAUAAACUGGAGGAAGGUGGGGAUGACGUCAAGUCAUCAUGGCCCUUACGAGUAGGGCUACACACGUGCUACAAUGGCAUAUACAAAGAGAAGCGACCUCGCGAGAGCAAGCGGACCUCAUAAAGUAUGUCGUAGUCCGGAUCGGAGUCUGCAACUCGACUCCGUGAAGUCGGAAUCGCUAGUAAUCGUGGAUCAGAAUGCC
rnacentral:rRNA from 1 species